CCAGGUCUCAGUGCUGUGUCCCCCCAGAGCCUAGAGGAUGUUUCAUGGGAUCCCAGCCACUCCGGGCAUAGGAGCCCCUGGGAACAAGCCGGAGCUGUAUGAGGUGAGUGGUGGGUGCCCACCCGGCCGGCAUUGGCCAACAGCAAAUGCCUGUGUGGCCUCACCAGGGUCCUGCAGCCCCUGUUGGCACUGGCCCACAGAGCCCGCUCUCUCCGGCAGGAAGUGAAGUUGUACAAGAACGCCCGGGAGAGGGAGAAGUAAGUCCAGGCGCCCAGGCUGUCCCAACACACCCAUGCGCAUCUGGCUGCCCUGGGGCAGCCCCUCCAGACCCACCCCAAACUGAGGGGUGGGAGGACGCAGGGUCAGUCUGGGGAACUGUUCCUGAGGCACUCCAGGAUGGAGCGAGAGGUGGGCAGAGCGCCCGCAGUGGCACCUCCAGGCAGGGGGUAGCACUCUGGGCUCUAGGCUUGGCACCCCGGGGCCUGGCCCGAUAGACAGGUGUGUCCUCAGGUACGACAACAUGGCAGAGCUGUUUGCGGUGGUGAAGACAAUGCAAGCCCUGGAGAAGGCCUACAUCAAGGACUGUGUCUCCCCCAGCGAGUACACUGCAGCCUGCUCCCGACUCCUGGUCCAAUACAAAGCUGCCUUCAGGCAGGUCCAGGGCUCAGAAAUCAGCUCUAUUGACGAAUUCUGCCGCAAGUUCCGCGUGAGUGCCUGGUCCUUCCACCCCCAUGGGGCGGGACUGUCAGGCAUGGGUAUGGGGUGCCAGAGGGCUCUGGCCACCUGGGGCUUGCUGUCCUGAGAGCCCCAGCACCCAUGUCACCCCCCACAGCUGGACUGCCCGCUGGCCAUGGAGCGGAUCAAGGAGGACCGGCCCAUCACCAUCAAGGACGACAAGGGCAACCUCAACCGCUGCAUUGCAGACGUGGUCUCGGUGCGCCCCAGCCCCCAGGGCACGUGGUUAGGAGGGCCGAGGCUGCCUGCUGCAGCUGGGCACGAGCGUAGGGUCCUGGGCCUCCAGAGCUGAGCAGCACUCUGACUUGCUGGGCAGAAGGGAACCCCUUUAACUAGGAAUGAGGGGUGGGCAGCAUGCGGGGACGCCCCCAGGCCACCUGGACUCCUGUCGGGGGGAUGAGCACAGGGUGCGUUCUGGCGGAGUCCUGGCCUCGGGAGAGAGUGUGGGUGUGGGCCCACCCUUCAGUUCCCACACAGCUGUCUGGGCAGCCAGGACCUCGUUCACCCAGGAGGCCUGCAGGGUUUGGGAACAGAGUGCAGUGAGGAGGCCCAAGUGACAGCUAUGGCUGAGGAGGGGUUGGGGCCCGUGAGCCGUGGGGCCUCCCGCACCCCUGGACACGCGAGCCUCAUGUGCACACCCGCCCCCAGCUCUUCAUCACGGUCAUGGACAAGCUGCGCCUGGAGAUCCGCGCCAUGGAUGAGGUGCGGGCAUUGGGCUGGCAGGGGGCCUAGGCAGGAGGGGAUGGAGCCGGCAUCGGGGUCCCAGCCGCUGUGUGUGUCCCAGAUCCAGCCCGACCUGCGAGAGCUGAUGGAGACCAUGCACCGCAUGAGCCACCUCCCACCCGACUUCGAGGGCCGCCAGACGGUCAGCCAGUGGUGGGUGUCCCUCCCAGCCAGGCAGAGCCCCGCAGUGCCCCUGAGGCCCUCCCAGCCAGGCGGAGCCCCCGCAGUGCCCCUGAGGCCCUCUGCCCCCACAUGCCCUGUGCUGCACUCCCAGGCUGCAGACCCUGAGCGGCAUGUCGGCGUCAGAUGAGCUGGACGACUCACAGGUGCGUCAGAUGCUGUUCGACCUGGAGUCAGCCUACAACGCCUUCAACCGCUUCCUGCAUGCCUGAGCCCGGGGCGCCAGCCCUUGCACAGAAGGGCAGAGUCUGAGGCGAUGGCUCCUGGUCCCCUGUCCGCCACACAGGCCCUGGUCAUCCACACAACUCACUGUCUGCAGCUGCCUGUCUGGUGUCUGUCUUUGGUGUCAGAACUUUGGGGGCCGGGCCCCUCCCCACAAUAAAGAUGCUCUCCGACCUUC
rnacentral:sRNA from 1 species